AACGAACGCUGGCGGCGUGGAUAAGACAUGCAAGUCGAACGGGAACUUCAGCUGUAGCAAUACAGUUGCAGUUUUAGUGGCGAACGGGUGCGUAACACGUGGGCAAUCUGCCGAGAAGUGGGGGAUAGCUCGCCGAAAGGCGAAUUAAUACCGCAUAUGAUCAGCUAAGACAUCUUAGCGACAUCAAAGCCGGGGCAACCUGGCGCUUUUUGAGGAGCCCGCGGCCUAUCAGCUAGUUGGUGAGGUAACGGCUCACCAAGGCUAUGACGGGUAGCUGGUCUGAGAGGACGACCAGUCACACUGGAACUGAGACACGGUCCAGACACCUACGGGUGGCAGCAGUCGAGAAUUUUUCUCAAUGGGGCAACCCUGAAGGAGCGACGCCGCGUGGAGGAUGAAGGCUUUCGGGUUGUAAACUCCUGUCAUUUGAGAACAAGGUGCAUCGGUUAACUGCCGAUGCAUUGAUAGUAUC
rnacentral:rRNA from 1 species